rnacentral:rRNA from 1 species
UACAGAGGGAGCUAGCGUUUUUCGGAAUUAUUGGGCGUAAAGGGCGCGUAGGCGGCCGAUUAAGUUGAAAGUGAAAUCCCAGAGCUCAACUCUGGAACUGCUUUCAAAACUGAUUGGCUCGAGUUUGGUAGAGGAUGAUGGAAUUCUUGGUGUAGGGGUAAAAUUCUUAGAUAUCAGGAGGAACACCGGUGGCGAAGGCGAUCAUCUGGGCCAUAACUGACGCUGAGGCGCGAAAGCGUGGGGAGCAAACAGGAUUAGAAACCCGAGUAGU